UAGGGAAUCUUCCACAAUGGACGCAAGUCUGAUGGAGCAACGCCGCGUGAGUGAAGAAGGCUUUCGGGUCGUAAAACUCUGUUAUUGAAGAAGAACGUGUGUGACAGUAACUGGUCAUGCAGUGACGGUAUUCAAUCAGAAAGUCACGGCUAACUACGUGCCAGCAGCCGCGGUAAUACGUAGGUGGCAAGCGUUGUCCGGAUUUAUUGGGCGUAAAGCGAGUGCAGGCGGUCUUUUAAGUCUGAUGUGAAAGCCUUCGGCUUAACCGAAGAAGGGCAUCGGAAACUGGGAGGCUUGAGUGCAGAAGAGGAGAGUGGAACUCCAUGUGUAGCGGUGAAAUGCGUAGAUAUAUGGAAGAACACCAGUGGCGAAGGCGGCUCUCUGGUCUGUAACUGACGCUGAGGCUCGAAAGCGUGGGUAGCAAACAGGAUUAGAUACCCUGGUAGUCCACGCCGUAA
rnacentral:rRNA from 1 species